rnacentral:rRNA from 1 species
UACGAAGGGGCUAGCGUUGGCUCGGAAUUACUGGGCGUAAAGCGCACGUAGGCGGCUUUCUAAGUCGGAGGUGAAAUCCUGGAGCUCAACUCCAGAACUGCCUUCGAUACUGGAGCUUGAGUCCGGAGAGGUGAGUGGAACUGCGAGUGUAGAGGUGAAAUUCGUAGAUAUUCGCAAGAGCACCAGUGGCGAAGGCGGCUCACUGGCCCGGUACUGACGCUGAGGUGCGAAAGCGUGGGGAGCAAACAGG